rnacentral:rRNA from 1 species
UUGAACGCUGGCGGCAUGCCUUACACAUGCAAGUCGAACGGUAGAGGGGCAACCCUUGAGAGUGGCGAACGGGUGAGUAAUGCAUCGGAACGUGCCCAGUCGUGGGGGAUAACGCAGCGAAAGCUGUGCUAAUACCGCAUGUGAUCUGUGGAUGAAAGCAGGGGACCGCAAGGCCUUGUGCGAUUGGAGCGGCCGAUGUCAGAUUAGCUAGUUGGUAGGGUAAAAGCCU